rnacentral:pre_miRNA from 12 species
GGUGGGGCAGCUGGUGUUGUGAAUCAGGCCGCUGCCGAUCAGAGAACGGCUACUUCACAACACCAGGGUCGCACCC